rnacentral:rRNA from 1 species
AUGCAUGCCGCCGUCACCCUGCUGGACCUCUUCCGCUCUGCUUCUGGUUUGCGGACAAACUGGACAAAGAGCGCGGCUACCCCAAUCGCGUGCGCGCUGAGGCAGGUUGAAGAGACGGUUGUGGAAACGGAGUGCUCCACCAAGACCCUGCCGAUCACCUACCUGGGCCUGCCUCUCUCUGACACAAGACUCCGCCGGGACGACCUGCAACCUGUCAUAGAUUGCCUGGCCAAGAGACUAAGGGGCUGGAAGACAAGAUUAAUCGCACUCCCUGGCAGGAUCGAGCUUGUCAGGACAGUGCUUUCGGCGAUGGCAAUCUACCGGAUCAUGGCCAUCGCACCACCGACCUGGUUCCUCAAGAUGAUAGACAAGCUGCGGCAUGGCUUCCUGUGGGCGGCAGAUGAGGCCGCUCCGGCCGGCAAGUGUCUGGUAAGCUGGAAGGAGGUGUGCAGGCCCCGCGAGCUAGGCGGCCUCGGAGUACUCGAUCUGCAGCGCCAGGGGGCCGCGCUACGGGCACGUUGGCACUGGUUACGCUGGACGGACGACGCCAGGCCAUGGAUGGACUUG